CCUACGGGUGGCAUCAGUGGGGAAUAUUGGGCAAUGGAGGAAACUCUGACCCAGCAAUGCCGCGUGAAUGAAGAAGGUCUUCGGAUUGUAAAGUUCUUUAGUCAGGGAAGAAGUCAAUGACGGUACCUGAAGAAUAAGCUCCGGCUAACUACGUGUCAGCAGCCGCGGUAAUACGUAGGGAGCAAGCGUUGUUCGGAAUGACUGGGCGUAAAGGGUGCGUAGGUGGUUGUACAAGUUAGAAGUGAAAUACCCAGGGCUUAACUCGGGUGCUGCGUCGAAAACGGUAUGACUUGAGUGCAGUAGAGGUUAGUGGAAUUCCUGGUGUAGCGGUGGAAUGCGUAGAUAUCAGGAGGAACACCGGAGGCGAAGGCAGCUAACUGGACUGCAACUGACGCUGAGGAACGAAAGUGUGGGGAGCAAACAGGAUUAGAUACCCUUGUAGUC
rnacentral:rRNA from 1 species